rnacentral:rRNA from 1 species
GCGUCCCCAAGUCAGGCGUGAUUACCCGCUGAGUUUAA